AUGCCGUUCGCCGGAGCCGUCGCCCCCUGCACCACCAUCCUGCUCCUCCUGCUGCUCGUCCCCUGUGCCGAGGGACAACCGCCCGAGGCGACGCCGCCGCGGGGCAUGGCGAUCGGGCAGAUCCUGUCCAAGAACGGGUGCGGCGCCUUCGCCGGCCUCGUCGCCGCCACGGCCGGCGUGGGCCAGGUGCUCCGCGAGCAGAGCGACGCGGGGCUCACCGUGUUCUGCCCGGACGACGGCGCUGUCGCGGCGUUCACCCCGCGGUUCAGCAACCUCACCGCCGACCGCCAGGCCUCGCUUCUUCUGUACCACGGACUGGCGGUACGCUCCUCCGAGGUGGAGCUCUCCUUGUUGACCCGCCUCGGCGGGGAAAUCGAGGUGCGGACGCUCGAUCGGGGCCGCUGGGGCUACGGCAUGCUCACCAUCUGCGACUGCGGAGGCACCAUGAGGCUCUCUUCGUCGCCGCCGUCGUUCACGAUGCCGGACGAGGCCAGGGUCACCAACACGGUCGUCUACAACGACCGCCUCACUCUCUACCUCAUCGACGCCGUGCUGGUUCCGGGAGCGCCGGCGGUGUUCGACUACUCGGACAGCCUGGUGACCGUUUGCUUCUUGCUCGGGAUCGUCACCUUAGUCUUGGGGUCGUGUGUUCUUUCUGUCAUUCGUGCAUGA
rnacentral:rRNA from 1 species